rnacentral:rRNA from 1 species
AGAGUUUGAUCCUGGCUCAGAUUGAACGCUGGCGGCAUGCCUUACACAUGCAAGUCGAACGGCAGCACGGGAGCAAUCCUGGUGGCGAGUGGCGAACGGGUGAGUAAUAUAUCGGAACGUGCCCAGUCGUGGGGGAUAACGCAGCGAAAGCUGUGCUAAUACCGCAUACGAUCUAUGGAUGAAAGCGGGGGAUCGCAAGACCUCGCGCGAUUGGAGCGGCCGAUAUCAGAUUAGCUAGUUGGUGGGGUAAAGGCCCACCAAGGCGACGAUCUGUAGCUGGUCUGAGAGGACGACCAGCCACACUGGAACUGAGACACGGUCCAGACUCCUACGGGAGGCAGCAGUGGGGAAUUUUGGACAAUGGGCGCAAGCCUGAUCCAGCAAUGCCGCGUGCAGGAUGAAGGCCUUCGGGUUGUAAACUGCUUUUGUACGGAACGAAACGGUCCGCCCUAAUACGGUGGGCUAAUGACGGUACCGUAAGAAUAAGCACCGGCUAACUACGUGCCAGCAGCCGCGGUAAUACGUAGGGUGCGAGCGUUAAUCGGAAUUACUGGGCGUAAAGCGUGCGCAGGCGGUUAUAUAAGACAGAUGUGAAAUCCCCGGGCUCAACCUGGGACCUGCAUUUGUGACUGUAUAGCUAGAGUACGGUAGAGGGGGAUGGAAUUCCGCGUGUAGCAGUGAAAUGCGUAGAUAUGCGGAGGAACACCGAUGGCGAAGGCAAUCCCCUGGACCUGUACUGACGCUCAUGCACGAAAGCGUGGGGAGCAAACAGGAUUAGAUACCCUGGUAGUCCACGCCCUAAACGAUGUCAACUGGUUGUUGGGUCUUCACUGACUCAGUAACGAAGCUAACGCGUGAAGUGACCGCCUGGGAG